rnacentral:rRNA from 1 species
ACGGGGGGGGCAAGCGUUGUUCGGAAUUACUGGGCGUAAAGGGUGCGUAGGCGGCUUUCUAAGUUGGAUGUGAAAACUCUGGGCUCAACCCAGAGCCUGCAUCCAAAACUGGAGAGCUUGGGUUCUGGAGGGGAAAGCGGAAUUCCUGGUGUAGCGGUGAAAUGCGUAGAUAUCAGGAGGAACACCGGUGGCGAAGGCGGCUUUCUGGACAGAUACCGACGCUGAGGCACGAAAGCGUGGGGAGCAAACAGGA